rnacentral:rRNA from 1 species
GACGAACGCUGGCGGCGUGCCUAAUACAUGCAAGUUGAGCGCUGAAGGUUGGUACUUGUACCAACUGGAUGAGCAGCGAACGGGUGAGUAACGCGUGGGGAAUCUGCCUUUGAGCGGGGGACAACAUUUGGAAACGAAUGCUAAUACCGCAUAAAAACUUUAAACACAAGUUUUAAGUUUGAAAGAUGCAAUUGCAUCACUCAAAGAUGAUCCCGCGUUGUAUUAGCUAGUUGGUGAGGUAAAGGCUCACCAAGGCGAUGAUACAUAGCCGACCUGAGAGGGUGAUCGGCCACAAUGGGACUGAGACACGGCCCAAACUCCUACGGGAGGCAGCAGUAGGGAAUCUUCGGCAAAGGACGAAAGUCUGACCGAGCAACGCCGCGGGAGGGAAGAAAGUUUUCAGGUCGUAAAACUCUGUUGGUAGGGAAGAACGUUGGUGAGAGUGGAAAGCUCAUCAAGUGACGGUAACUACCCAGAAAGGGACGGCUAACUACGUG